rnacentral:rRNA from 1 species
UAAUACGGAGGGUGCAAGCGUUAUCCGGAUUUAUUGGGUUUAAAGGGUCCGCAGGCGGAACUUUAAGUCAGUGGUGAAAGCCUACAGCUUAACUGUAGAACUGCCAUUGAUACUGAAAUUCUUGAGUGUGGUUGAAGUGGGCGGAAUAUGUCAUGUAGCGGUGAAAUGCAUAGAUAUGACAUGGAACACCAAUUGCGAAAGCAGCUCACUAAACCAUUACUGACGCUCAUGGACGAAAGUGUGGGUAGCGAACAGGAUUAGAUACCCUGGUAGUCCACGCCGUAAACGAUGGACACUCGUUGUUGGGAUUUAUUUCUCAGUGACUAAGCGAAAGUGAUAAGUGUCCCACCUGGGGAGUACGGUCGCAAGAUUG